AAAAACAUCCAGACCAAAAAAGCAGUUCUCAGUCAUGUUCUUCUCGGUUGCAACAAAUGACAUUCAAUGAAGGAAUAGUUUGGCAGUGCUUAUUCAUGGCAAACAUUUGUCCCUGUGCCACAUUUCAGUGCUGUUGGUCAGUAAUGUUUUUAUGAAAUGCUCUCAACAAAAACAAGCGUGACAUUAUUUUGAAGGCUUGACAGUCACUUCAUA